UGCGGCGCAUUAGCUAGUCGGCGGGGUAACGGCCCACCGAGGCGACGAUGCGUAGGGGUUCUGAGAGGAAGGUCCCCCACACUGGUACUGAGACACGGACCAGACUCCUACGGGAGGCAGCAGUGAGGAAUAUUGGUCAAUGGCCGGGAGGCUGAACCAGCCAAGUCGCGUGAGGGAAGACGGCCCUACGGGUUGUAAACCUCUUUUGUCAGGGAGCAAGAGGCGGGUCGAGACCUGCUGUGAGAGUACCUGAAGAAAAAGCAUCGGCUAACUCCGUGCCAGCAGCCGCGGUAAUACGGAGGAUGCGAGCGUUAUCCGGAUUUAUUGGGUUUAAAGGGUGCGCAGGCGGAGGCACAAGUCAGCGGUAAAAUCGCGGGGCUCAACCCCGCUCCGCCGUUGAAACUGUGUCCCUUGAGUGCGCGAAGGGUAGGCGGAAUGCGUGGUGUAGCGGUGAAAUGCAUAGAUAUCACGCAGAACUCCGAUCGCGAAGGCAGCCUACCGGCGCGCAACUGACGCUCAUGCACGAAAGCGUGGGUAUCGAACAGGAUUAGAUACCCUGGUAGUCCACGCAGUAAACGAUGAAUGCUAUCUGUCCGGCCGGAAUGACGGCUGG
rnacentral:rRNA from 1 species